GAGUUCGUGCCCCCCGGGGUAGAUCUCCCACCCUGUUUACCUGACCCUGUUGCUUUGGCGGGCCGACCGUCCAGGCCGCCGGCGAUUCGCUGGCGUGCGCUCGCCAAAGGCCCCCAAACUCUGAACCUGAACGCGGCGUCCGAGUACUAUCUAAUAGUUAAAACUUUCAACAACGGAUCUCUUGGUUCU
rnacentral:misc_RNA from 1 species